UACGUAGGUCGCAAGCGUUGUCCGGAUUUACUGGGCGUAAAGAGCGCGCAGGCGGCUGGUCAAGUCCGAUGUGAAAUCUCCCGGCUCAACUGGGAAACUGCAUCGGAAACUGAUCGGCUUGAAGGUGGGAGAGAGUAGUGGAAUUCCCGGUGUAGUGGUGAAAUUCGUAGAUAUUCGCAGGAACACCAGUGGCGAAGGCGGCUAACUGGUCCAUAACUGACGCUGAGGUGCGAAAGCGUGGGGAGCAAACAGG
rnacentral:rRNA from 1 species